GAUGAACGCUAGCGGGAGGCUUAAUACAUGCAAGUCGAGCGGUAGAUGGCUUCGGCCAUUGAGAGCGGCGCACGGGUGAGUAACACGUACAUGACCUGCCUGUCAGAAGGGGAUAGCCCUGGGAAACUGGGAUUAAUACCCUAUGGUAUUACUGGUGUAGAGCUAAGUAAUUAAAGCUGAGGCGCUGACAGAUGGAUGUGCGUCUGAUUAGCUAGUUGGUGGGGUAAAGGCCUACCAAGGCGACGAUCAGUAGGGGGCGUGAGAGCGUGAACCCCCACACGGGUACUGAGACACGGACCCGACUCCUACGGGGAGGCAGCAGUAAGGAAUAUUGGUCAAUGCCCGCAAGGGGUGAACCAGCCAUUCCGCGUGGAGGAUGAAGGCCCUAUGGGGUUGUAAACUUCUUUUAGAUGGGAAUAAAAUGCUAGAUUUAUCUGGUACUGAAGGUACCAUCAGAAUAAGCACCGGCUAAACUCCGUGCCAGCAGCCGCGGUAAU
rnacentral:rRNA from 1 species